UGUGCGUAACAAUAUCAAAAAGUUUUGGUUUAAAAUCAUAAAUUAUAUGAACAAUUCCUUCUCGAUACAAGUCUCCUUAAACCCUGCAGCUCUAUUGUUUGCAAACUUUGAGGAAUGGAACAUUUCAAUACUUGAAAAACGUUUAAUACCCAUACUGACUAUUAUGGUUACAACUGCCAAGAAAGUAAUACUGAAUUCAUAGAUUAAAAAAACACGCCCCAACUAUAUCUGAGGUUGAAUCUCUUAUGGAUAAAUAUAUGUUUUUUGAUAGAUACGAAAAUAUUCCUGAGAGCCAACGUAAAACCCGAUAUUUCUAUCACAAAUGGAGAUAUUAUAUACAGUCUAAGCCUAUAGAACAGCAAGCACAUAUCUGCUAAAUUUUUAAAACUACAGAUGGGUCCACUUUUAUCUUGACCUUUAAUAGGAUUAACUGAGACCUUGAAAAAGCUGCCACAUAGAGCAGUGAAACGCGUUGGUUAUUGACCCCAUCUCACCCAGAGAAUAUCCACCAUUGAUUCAGCCUGAACCAGCUCCGGGAACAUCUAUCUAAAGGUGCAUUGGGCACGAAUCUUCAUCGUGACACUGUCACUAAAGAUGACAGUACUGCGGUAAAAAGACCGCAAUAGAAGCAUGGACUGCCAGCCAUCAAAUACCUAUCGGGUAAAGAGCAACAUCCUUGGACAGCGAGUCUCACAAUCCACCUCAAACCAAUUAAUCCAUUGGAACUGUACUACAAAAACCACAAGGUGGUCAUGCAUAAGGUCCACUGUGGAAAUAUUCAAGAGACUAUCAUACCAGACGCACUAUAGGAACAGGCUAACAUGAUGGACUGACACAGUGCACAAUUUUCUCUAGUGGUUUAGAAGCGGGAUGGAAGAGCAAAGGACAAAGGCCUCUGCAGAGCCAGCUCUAUGGAUGCACCAGCAAUGAGGGAAUGAGUAGAGUGACAGCCCCGCUGAUGUAGGUCCCAGGGAGACCACCACAGGCUUAUUACAGCAUCCACCCCAUAGUGUGACACAUGAGGCCAUGAUUUCAGAGGACUUCAUAUCUUGGUCAUGACAGGUGACAAGACUACAAUCAAAGUGACAAGUGAUCAAGCAAUUCAACCUUUGGAAGGCAAAGACUUUGGGUGUUGUUGAUGCUUCUCCUGAUUGCCAUCAGUCCUCUCUCUCCCCAUUUCCUCUCACUUUUCUGUCUGUGUGUACCUUGCAGUAGUCCCAAAAUACUGUGGGUUGCAAGGCUCCAACAGUCAAGAGAAAAAAGGAGAUUCAUGUGGCUAUCACACCAUGUACCCCUUCCCCUUUGUUUUUUUAGCUUCUUGCUGUGGUUCUGGAUUCUCCAUGAUGAAGCAGCAGCUGUCUGUGCUUGAGACUACCUCGGCUGAGAACACACAGAUUGACAACCUCAGGUAGGGCAGCAGAGACACCCCUACGCCUGUCAAAACCACCCCAAGGGACCUUGGAUGGAUGUGCCUGGCAUGCAGCGGCGCUAUGGACCUGCGGAAUCCAAAUCACAGGGCCCAAAAGACAGAAGAGUGAAUGGGAUACAUGGGACUUACUACUGUGUACCGCCUUCCCCUUUGCGCUUUCAGCUUUUGGCUGUGGUCCCAGAUUCUCCAGGAGAAGCAGCGGCUGCCUGUUCUUGUGACCAUCCCCGACCAGAA